AUUGAACGCUGGCGGCAGGCCUAACACAUGCAAGUCGAGCGGGGUUUUCGGACCUAGCGGCGGACGGGUGAGUAAUGCGUAGGAAGCUACCCGAUAGAGGGGGAUACCAGUUGGAAACGACUGUUAAUACCGCAUAAUGUCUACGGACCAAAGUGUGGGACCUUCGGGCCACAUGCUAUCGGAUGCGCCUACGUGGGAUUAGCUAGUUGGUGAGGUAAUGGCUCACCAAGGCGACCAUCCCUAGCUGGUUUGAGAGGAUGAUCAGCCACACUGGAACUGAGACACGGACCAGACUCCUACGGGGGGCAGCAGUGGGGAAUAUUGGACAAUGGGCGCAAGCCUGAUCCGGCCAUGCCGCGUGUGUGAAGAAGGCCUUCGGGUUGUAAAGCACUUUCAGUAGGGAGGAAGCGUUGUGUGUUAAUAGUACACAGCGUUGACGUUACCUACAGAAGAAGCACCGGCUAACUCUGUGCCAGCCGCCGCAGUAAAAC
rnacentral:rRNA from 1 species